rnacentral:snRNA from 1 species
GGAUGUGAGGGCGAUCUGGCUGCGACAUCUGUCACCCCAUUGAUCGCCAGGGUUGAUUCGGCUGAUCUGGCUGGCUAGGCGGGUGUCCCCUUCCUCCCUCACCGCUCCAUGUGCGUCCCUCCCGAAGCUGCGCGCUCGGUCGAAGAGGACGACCAUCCCCGAUAGAGGAGGACCGUUCUUCGGUCAAGGGUAUACGAGUAGCUGCGCUCCCCUGCUAGAACCUCCAAACAAGCUCUCAAAUAAUGAAGUUUUCACUCUUAUAGUCAUUAUAGGAUUCAGAAUCUUUUUGUGUUUAACUGGCAGUUAUAUUUCUUUAUUUAAUGAGAUCUUCAUU